CAAGUACUCCCUCCGUCCAACAAAAGAUGUCUCAACUUUAACUAAAUUUGAAUGUAUCUAUACACUAAGUCAAGUCUAGAUACAUUCAAAUUUUGAGAAACUUCAAACAUCCUUUGUUGGACGGAGGGAGUAGCAA
rnacentral:pre_miRNA from 1 species